AUCCGUCUUGCUGAGGGCAAAAGAGUAGGAUACAGUUGCCCCUCUCCCCCUGUCCUACGCGGGGCAGAAACAGGCAAGGAACGUGCAUAGGCCAAGAAUGGCACCCAAAGCCCGUAGUGUUGCUCCAAAGGCGCAAGCUGGUGCUUCGCCGCCGGAGGCCCGCGAGCCGCUCAUCAUUGCGGCUGCUUUCCUUGACAGCGUGGUAGCUGUGGCGGGUGUGCCUGUGAUGAUGGCGCAGGCCGCGUAUGUCUCGUUCCCCUCUGGCGCCCACCUUGUCGCGUACCAGCUGUGCUUUCUGGUUCCGCAGCUCAUAACAACACUUGUGGCGGAGCAGCUCACGAUGCACGUGAGUGCCUCGGCGCUCUUACUUUUCACAUUGAUGUGCUCCACAGGCAGCGCGGCUAUCGUAGCGCUGAGUCUGUCGCAGCGCGCACUGUCGCUCUUCUUCGCCUCUCAUAUUCUGAACGGUGUCUUUCGACACACCAAGACACUGUUUGGUGUCACCGCGAAAACGCUGCACAUGCCGACCACCGACGUCAGUGCAGCUGCCCGGUACGGUAUGAUGGCAGGCAUGCUGCUCGGCGGAAUCGCAGGCGACAUCAUGCGCGAUGCGGUACAGGUGGCGCAACUGUUCAUCGGGGUAGAGGCGGCCGCUGCGACGCUAGUACUCGCACACCACCUGCUGCGCAGUCGCACCGUGGUGGUGACCGCCCGAGUCAGUCAGGAGUACGCCCAGUGGCUCCCCAGUCUGGCGCGGGCACCGGCAGUUGUGUAUCGCUCCGUGUCAGCUCUCAUUGCCGUCAUGCUGGCUGCCUCGGUGAAUCAGGUGGUGUACCCUAUUGCGGCGCCCGCAUAUGGUCUCCCGUACUCCUUCGCGGGUGCCCACUUGUGUUUCGGUAUGGUACUGCAAAUGGUUUUGAUGCCAUCCGUCGUGGAUGUUGCCAAGCGCAUGGCGCGGCAGUGGAAGUCGAACGUGCUGCUGACCGGCAGCGCGGAGGAUAAGCUGUCGGUUAUCGCCGGGCUCUUACUCCUUGCGGGCUGCACUGUCGUUCCGUGCGCUUCUGAUUUCGGACCUUUUGUCUUUUAUCCCGCAUCGCUGCUGUUGGUGGACCUACCUGCCGGCGUCCUGAGCACGCUCGCCGCGAGUGCGGUGCAGGAGACGUUUGGACACGGCUCCGGCGACGCGCCGAAGGUCGCAAGGCUGCUCGCCCACAUCACACAACUAGUGAAGAUGUUUGCGGCGCCGCUGCGCAUCUGUACGACAGAGAGCCUCAGGGGGUACAAAUACCCUGUGCGCUACAUCAGUAUCCCGCUGAUGACGUACGCACUGACGUACGCCCGCACACACAACGUCACGUACGCGGUGACCGGACUGGCGACAACGUUGCUCCUUCUCACGUCCACUGUCUCUUCCUUUGAGGGCGAGCUGUAGACUCGAUUGACUCGCUGAGAAGUGACAACCAAAAGUAGUCGUUGAUUGGCAGACAGCGGCUGCGUGGGUGAGCGCCGAGGCGGCUCAGCGUCCGUGAGGAUCGGUCGAUAUCAAAAGCUGAUUUGGUGCGUGCUCGUGUGCGCGGUGUCUUGCCGGGAGCGCCGACAGCCCGAUAGAGCCAGUAGGGGACGAGCUUCAGUGAGUAACGCUUCCGUUCUUUCCCUUGUUGUUGUUUCUUUGUGAGGGGGGGGAGGGAGAGGGCUGUGCCGCUGGACCUGCUCCGGUUUGCGUCGCUUCCACCGAAUGCGCUCGUGUAAGAAGUGGAGGGAGGCGAUAUGGAGGAAGCGCGUACACACACGCAAUGGCGUCGCCUUCCCUUUUCCUUUUCUUCCGCUCUCCUCUGUCCCCCGAAUUGCCGCCACCCUAGUUCAUUAUUAAUGUAUCGAUCUGUGUAGAGACACAGCGUUCAAUCGUCUUCACAGGCAGGACUGGGCUUGUGCAUCCCCCGUCUCGUGCGUUCUACAACCGGGUAUUCUUUUCUCUCGCCUACUUGGCUUCCUCGUGAUCCCUCUGUAUUCCGGUCG
rnacentral:misc_RNA from 1 species